CAGUAGCCGCGGUAAUACAGAGGAUGCAAGCGUUGUCCGGAUUUAUUGGGCGUAAAGCGAGCGCAGGCGGUUAGAUAAGUCUGAAGUUAAAGGCUGUGGCUUAACCAUAGUAUGCUUUGGAAACUGUUUAACUUGAGUGCAGAAGGGGAGAGUGGAAUUCCAUGUGUAGCGGUGAAAUGCGUAGAUAUAUGGAGGAACACCGGUGGCGAAAGCGGCUCUCUGGUCUGUAACCGACGCUGAGGCUCGAAAGCGUGGGGAGCAAACAGGAUUAGAUACCCGGGUAGUCCCUGUCUCUUAUACA
rnacentral:rRNA from 1 species